rnacentral:tRNA from 1 species
AUUUCUUUAUUUUAAUAGUUUAUAUAAAAACAUUACAUUUUCACUGUAAAAUAAAAUAUUAAUUAUUUCUAAA